GAAGGUGAGCGGUUCCAGAGAGUACAACAAGUCCACCAAGUUAACAAAUUACCCACUGGAUUUAGUUGCGGAAAGAAUAUCAGAGUUUUACACGAUUUCGGAAAACAACAGAAGGUAAAACACUAGCGGAAGCAAUCGUCGGGGUCGGAUGUCCUGGUGAGGCCAGCCGGGACAUCACUGAUCCCUCUCCUCGCCGUCCGAGGAGGGAUCCCACUCGACCGUCCAGCCCGGCGGGAGCUGGGGCGGCCAAGCGCCAGCAAGAGAAGGGUCGGGAGCAGCAGCUUCACCUGAAAAACAGGAGCCACAACAAGGCUGAGCUACUAAGCUCAACAAGACUUAACCGAUAGGAGUAAAACCACUCCACACUUCUAGACAUGCAGG
rnacentral:lncRNA from 1 species